AAAAGAAACUAACAAGGAUUCCCCUAGUAACGGCGAGUGAAGCGGGAUGAGCUCAAAUUUGUAAUCUGGUGGACUCAGUUCAUCCGAGUUGUAAUCUAUAGAAAAGUUUUCCGCGCCGGACCGUGUCUAAGUCCCUUGGAACAGGGUGUCAGAGAGGGUGAGAAUCCCGUGCUUGAUACGACCACCGGUGCUAUGUGAUACUUUUUCAACGAGUCGAGUUGUUUGGGAAUGCAGCUCAAAAUGGGUGGUAAAUUCCAUCUAAAGCUAAAUAUUGGCGAGAGACCGAUAGCGAACAAGUACCGUGAGGGAAAGAUGAAAAGCACUUUGGAAAGAGAGUUAAACAGUACGUGAAAUUGUUAAAAGGGAAACGAUUGAAGUCAGUCGUGCUCUCUGGGACUCAGCCGGUUCUUCCGGUGUAUUUCCCAGUGAGCGGGUCAACAUCAGUUUAGAUCGCUGGAUAAGGUCAUUAGGAAUGUGGCUCCCUCGGGAGUGUUAUAGCCUAGUGUCGCAUACAGUGGUUUAGACUGAGGAACGCAGCUCGCCUUUAUGGCCGGGGUUCGCCCACGUCCGAGCUUAGGAUGUUGACAUAAUGGCUUUAAACGAC
rnacentral:rRNA from 1 species